AUACGGAGGGUGCAAGCGUUGUUCGGGAUCACUGGGCGUAAAGGGCGCGCAGGCGGUUUGGUAAGUCAGAUGUGAAAGCCCACGGCUCAACCGUGGAAGUGCAUUUGAAACUGCCAGACUUGAGUACCAGAGGGGAAAGUGGAAUUCCCGGUGUAGAGGUGAAAUUCGUAGAUAUCGGGAGGAAUACCGGUGGCGAAGGCGGCUUUCUGGCUGGAUACUGACGCUGAGGCGCGAAAGCGUGGGGAGCAAACAGGAUUAGAAACCCCAGUAGUCC
rnacentral:rRNA from 1 species